GUAGGUGGCAAGCGUUGUCCGGAAUUAUUGGGCGUAAAGCGCGCGCAGGCGGUCCUUUAAGUCUGAUGUGAAAGCCCACGGCUCAACCGUGGAGGGUCAUUGGAAACUGGGGGACUUGAGUACAGAAGAGGAGAGCGGAAUUCCAAGUGUAGCGGUGAAAUGCGUAGAGAUUUGGAGGAACACCAGUGGCGAAGGCGGCUUUCUGGUCUGUAACUGACGCUGAGGCGCGAAAGCGUGGGGAGCAAACAGGGAUUAGAUACCCUGGUAGUCCACGCCGUAAACGAUGAGUGCUAAGUGUUAGGGGGUUUCCGCCCCCUUAGUGCUGCAGCUAACGCAUUAAGCACUCCGCCUGGGGAUACGGCCGCAAGGCUG
rnacentral:rRNA from 1 species